UCUGGGUCAGAGCACCAGUGUGAUAACAUCAUUUCAUUUUUGUCAGUUAUUUGUAUACACAACAGGGAAAUGUAAUUGUUACCCUGCACAAAUUGUGUCUAAUAAGGUCCCAGCCACUUCCUGGCUUCCAUUAUGACAUCAAUGACACAUCAUAAUGGAGCUGUGGCUGAGGGGUGAUGUCAUAGACUGUAUCACUUUCAGUCUUUUGAAAGGUAGUUGUCGGCGAAAGAAGACGUAUCUUCAAGAUGCUGUCGUUCAAGUCAAUUUUAUUGAUUAUUGUAUUUGUUACGGGUGCCAAAGGAGCUUCAGUUCAAACAACUGAAAGUGACUUGGCCCAAGAAAAUGGAGAAGCGAUGAUUUAUUAUGAAGAGUUUAAUCCAACAUCAGAAAGCAUAGCAGAAACACUGCCAGAAGGACCACCAGCAGAAAGUGACAUCAAAUACUAUUUUGAUGAGCUGAAAGAAAACCUGAAGACAGAGAACACCAAUUUUCUGAUGACUGUCUGUGCAGCGAUUGCCAUCAUCACUAUCGCGUUCACUGGCAUAGCUCUGGGCAUUUUUCUGCUUUAUAGACGAUAUAGAUCAAAGUCUGCUUUUUACAAGGGUUCAAAUGACAUCGAUAUUGAAGCUGGGCACCCUGAAACCCCUGAACCUGCAGGUGAAUAGUCUGGCGGGAGAGAUGUGCCAGUCACAGAAGUGCGCGGGAAUACUUUCACCUUUCCUGAGCCCUUCUGACACCUUGGGAAUCUUUAGGCUGGAAUUUCACUACUCUGUGUUUCUCCCUGCCACUCUGCUUGGGCCUCCUGCAGUCAUCUAGCCUCCUGCUCUCCAUCGCUGGGUGAUCCCAGCUGCUGUUUGUGGAGGCUACUGCACAUUAUACAUCCCUGUGCAACAUUGAUCCUCUCCUGGACCUACUGGGAGAUACAAAGAGAUAUCCUACACUUCUCUGCUGUUACCUCUGCAAUCUUGAGUUCCAGUUCCAGACAACUCUCUGGACUGUCACGUGUGCCAUCAUACAGCCACAUCACCAGGAAUCCAUUCUUCCUAAUGUGGUGAACUGAGAAUGCGGAGUCUACAGCAGAACAUCAUUUGUGAAAGGGACUAUAAACAGACUUUCUAACAACCAUUUGAAAAGGACAAGGUGUAAGAUAUGAGGUCUUCCUUUGUCUCAGCCUUUCACAAAAACAAAAUAAAUAACAAUGG